GAUGAACGCUGGCGGCGUGCCUAAUACAUGCAAGUCGAGCGAACGGACGAGAAGCUUGCUUCUCUGAUGUUAGCGGCGGACGGGUGAGUAACACGUGGAAAACCUACCUAUAAGACUGGGAUAACUUCGGGAAACCGGAGCUAAUACCGGAUAAUAUUUUGAACCGCAUUGUUCAAAAGUGAAAGACGGUCUUGCUGUCACUUAUAGAUGGAUCCGCGCUGCAUUAUCUAGUUGGUAAGGUAACGGCUUACCAAGGCAACGAUGCAUAGCCGACGUGAGAGGGUGAUCGGCGACCUGGGAACUGAGACACGGUCCAGACUACUACGGGAGGCAGCAGUAGGGAAUCUUCGGCAAUGGGCGAAAGCCUGACGGAGCAACGCCGCGUGAGUGAUGAAGGUCUUCGGAUCGUAAAACUCUGUUAUUAGGGAAGAACAUAUGUGUAAGUAACUGUGCACAUCUUGACGGUACCUAAUCAGAAAGCCACGGCUAACUACGUG
rnacentral:rRNA from 1 species